UACGAAGGGGGCUAGCGUUGUUCGGAUUUACUGGGCGUAAAGCGCGUGUAGGCGGGCUGGUAAGUUGGGGGUGAAAUCCCGAGGCUCAACCUCGGAACUGCCUCCAAAACUGUCAGCCUGGAGCAAAGUAGAGGCGAGUGGAAUUGCGAGUGUAGAGGUGAAAUUCGUAGAUAUUCGCAGGAACACCAGUGGCGAAGGCGACUCGCUGGACUUUUGCUGACGCUGAGACGCGAAAGCGUGGGGAGCAAACAGG
rnacentral:rRNA from 1 species